GAUUUCUGGCUUGAAACAUCUGGCCGGCCACGGUUUCGUGUGUUAGUGCUUGAUGUUCUGGCCAUCCUUCCAAUUGCUACGUACUCUUCUUCAUUGAUUGGUGCGUAGUAUUGGAUCUUUUACUUUGAAAAAAUUAGAGUGUUUCAAGCAGGCUUUAUGCUAUGAAUACAUUAGCAUGGAAUAAUAAUUUAGGACUUCGGUUCUAUUUUGUUGGUUUCUAGGACUGAAGUAAUGAUUGAUAGGGAUAGUUGGGGGUGCUAGUAUUCAGCGGCCAGAGGUGAAAUUCUCGGAUUCGCUGAAGACUAACUUAUGCGAAAGCAUU
rnacentral:rRNA from 1 species